rnacentral:rRNA from 1 species
AACGAACGCUGGCGGCAUGCCUAACACAUGCAAGUCGAACGAGACCUUCGGGUCUAGUGGCGCACGGGUGCGUAACGCGUGGGAACCUGCCCUUAGGUUCGGAAUAACUCCCCGAAAGGGGUGCUAUACCGGAUAAUGUCUUCGGACCAAAGAUUUAUCGCCUUUGGAUGGGUCCGCGUUGGAUUAGCUAGUUGGUAGGGUAAAAGCCUACCAAGGCGACGAUCCAUAGCUGGUCUGAGAGGAUGAUCAGCCACACUGGGACUGAGACACGGCCCAGACUCCUACGGGAGGCAGCAGUGGGGAAUAUUGGACAAGGGGCGAAAGCCUGAUCCAGCAAUGCCGCGUGAGUGAUGAAGGCCUUAGGGUUGUAAAGCUCUUUUACCCGGGAUGAUAAUGACAGUACCGGGAGAAUAAGCUCCGGCUAACUCCGUG